GCAAGUCGAACGAAGUAGCAAUACUUAGUGGCAAACGGGUGAGUAACACGUAGUCAACCUACCUUUAAGUGGGGGAUAACUAGCCGAAAGGUUAGCUAAUACCGCAUGUGAUCUCCGAUCGGCAUCGAUUGGCGAUCAAAGCAGCAAUGCGCUUAGAGACGGGACUGCGUCCCAUUAGUUAGUUGGUGGGGUAAUGGCCUACCAAGACUCCGAUGGGUAGCUGGCUUGAGAGAGCGACCAGCCACACUGGAACUGAGACACGGUCCAGACUCCUACGGGAGGCAGCAGUGAGGAAUUUUCCGCAAUGGGGGCAACCCUGACGGAGCGACGCCGCGUGUGGGAAGAAGGCCUUCGGGUCGUAAACCACUGUCGAAGGGGACGAUAUUGACGGUACCCUUGGAGGAAGCCCCGGCUAACUACGUGCCAGCAGCCGCGGUAAGACGUAGGGGGCAAGCGUUGUCCGGAAUCAUUGGGCGUAAAGCGCUCGUAGGUGGAUCUUUAAGUCUGUGAAGAAAGACCUGGGCUCAACUCAGGGAACGGCAUGGAUACUAUUGGUCUUGAGGUAGUUAGAGGAUGAUGGAAUUCCCGGU
rnacentral:rRNA from 1 species